UUGGCGAUGACUCAGUUGGUAAAGUGCUUAUCUUGCAAGCAUGAGGGCCUGAGUUUGAGCCCCAGAACCUAAG
rnacentral:tRNA from 1 species